rnacentral:rRNA from 1 species
GACGAACGCUGGCGGCGUGCUUAACACAUGCAAGUCGAACGGUAAGGCCCUGCUUUUGUGGGGUGCUCGAGUGGCGAACGGGAGAGUAACACGAGAGUAACCUGCCCUUGCCCCUGGGAUAACUUAAGGAAACUGGGGCUAAUCCCGGAUAGGAGCUCCUGCUGCAGGGUGGGGGUUGGAAAGGUUCGGAGGUUGGGGAUGGACUCGAGGCUUAUCAGCUUGUUGGUGGGGUAGUGGCUUACCAAGGCUUCGACGGGUGGCCGGCCUGAGAGGGUGUCCGGCCACAUUGGGACUGAGAUGCGGCCCAGACUCCUACGGGAGGCAGCAGUGGGGAAUAUUGCACAGUGGGCGGAAGCCUGAUGCAGCAACGCCGCGUGCGGGAUGACGGCCUUCGGGUUGUAAACCGCUUUCGCCUGUGACGAAGCGUGAGUGACGGUAAUGGGUAAAGAAGCACCGGCUAACUACGUG